AACGUCUAUACCACGCUGAAUACACCGGUUCUCGUCCGAUCACACUGAAGUUAAGGAGCGUCGGGCGCAGUCAGUAUUUGGAUGGGUGAUCGCCAGGGAACACCGGGUGGU